rnacentral:rRNA from 1 species
UGGGGAAUAUUGCACAAUGGACGGAAGUCUGAUGCAGCAACGCCGCGUGCGGGAUGACGGCCUUCGGGUUGUAAACCGCUUUUUCUCAUGACGAAGUUUUUUGACGGUAGUGGGGGAAGAAGCACCGGCUAACUACGUGCCAGCAGCCGCGGUGAUACGUAGGGUGCGAGCGUUGUCCGGAAUUAUUGGGCGUAAAGAGCUUGUAGGCGGUUUGUCGCGUCGAUAGUGCAAACUCAGUGCUUAACGCUGAGCCUGCUGUUGAUACGGGCAGACUAGACGAAGGUAGGGGGGGAUGGAAUUCCCGGUGGAGCGGUGGAAUGCGCAGAUAUCGGGAGGAACACCGGUGGCGAAGGCGGUUCUCUGGGCCUUUCCUGACGCUGAGAAGCGAAAGCGUGGGGAGCGAACAGG